rnacentral:lncRNA from 1 species
CGCGCCUUUCGUUUUUCUGCUGCUUUUCACGUGUUAUUUUCGGUUCCCUUGCAGCCUUGUCCCACUCUCCCUCCCACAGUCUCUGGCCUUGUCCGCCGGUCCUCUGCUGCCCUCGUGUGGCUCUAGGUGGAAAGGCAGCUUCCCAGCCCCACCCAAGGUGCGGCUGGGGAUGGAGCUGGAGAUGAGCGCGAGGGGAUCCAGGUGUGGAUGGUCGGCACGGGUUUGGCUCCGCGCCUUUGACCUGGGCAAGAGAACAAGCAGAGGAGUCUGUAAUAGAGGAUGAAUUUUUUCUCCAGCUUUAUUGAGAAUCUCACAAAGUCACCAAGUUGCCCAGGCCGGGCUAGAACUUGUGAGCCUCCUGCCUGAGGCCUUUCCAGAGUGCUUUCCAACGUGCUGGGGUUACAAGUGGGCACCACUGUGCUCAGCCCAGGAAUCAACCAUUUCUUCAAUGAGUGUUGCGGACACAUUUUCAUCACUGAGAUACAAUAUGCAACACCUGCAACAUAAAGGAGGAGACAUUUAUUUUGGCUCACGUUUUCAGUCCAUGGUUGGCUAGCUCCAAGGCAGGAUCAAUAAGAAUGUUUACCCUGUGCUAUUGUAUGUCGACAGUGUUUAACUUUCUUGUAUAUUUAAAAGAAAAGUAAAAAAGUUAAAAGUUUCAAGUCUCAGAGACUUUGGAUUUAGACUUUUUAGCACUGCUGAAACUUAAGAAUUUGGUGACUCUUAGAGAUGGAUUAAACACAGUUUACAUAAAGAGACACGCAUGAGUCUUUUGGGACCAGGGUAGAAUACCAUAUAUCUAGAUGCUUCCCAAGAGCUGCAUGUGCUCAAAGGGGGACUUUUAAAG